UGGUUUAUAAUUUAAGUUAUAAUUUAAAAAUAAUAAUUUUUAUAUAUUAUAUAUUUUAAUAUGUAUUUUAAUAAAAAUUAUUUAUUAAUUGUAAUGAAUUAUAUGUUAAUAUAUGUUAAAAUUACUAAAUAUCUAAAUAUCUAAUAUUAAUAAAUAGUAAUAGAUAAAUAUAUUUAAACAAAAAUAUUAAAUAUUUUAAUUAUACUUAAAUAUUUUAAUUAUACUUAGAUUAA
rnacentral:tRNA from 1 species